CUGAGAGGGAUGCUGAGGGCAGGUGGAUCUGCCUGCCUGCAGCUGACAGGAAAAUGAGAUGUUUCCUGUCUGAUUUUGAAAGGCAGACACAAGAAAUAAGCAGGGUUUAUCAUCAAUGUUGUUGCUGCAAAAAAACAGGUAUUCAAAAGCUGCAUGAGGCCUGCCAUGCCUGACUGACAGAUCCCAAACAUGACUGGGUUUGUACUGGGUUAUGCUGGGAGGGGGCAGCAGACCUGAGCUGGCAGCAUAAAACAUCCUGGAAAAAAAAUUAAAAUAUUGCUACAAGGCAGCUCCAAUCCAGAAUCUUGUCUGGUCCUUUCCUCUUCAUUACCUGUGGCAGAGGUGAGAAGUCCCAAGACUGAGCAAAGUCACAGGAAGGCCUCACACCUGUAGUACCUCCUGCAAAGGGGAUAAUGUAGCAAAAUAGUAGGCAAGAAUUAACUUUUAACUCCCUGUCAGUUGUCUGUAAAUGGGAAAUAUAUUUAGGUGGAGACUCGGGAACAGUGAGGCAUUUACAAAGUGGCAUGAAAUUAAACAGGACAUGUUUGGGAAAGACAUCACAAUCAUUACAUGUCACGGGCUGCCUGAGGAAAGCCCAGAUUACCCAAACAAAAGCAAGGAAGAGCUCUGGGUAUAACUUACAGAGGGAUUUUAAACAAUAGAGAGGAAAAUAUUUCAAGCUAACUUUUUGAAGGGCUCUUCCCUCGAUUUUAGUCUCUCGUUGCCUGAAAAUUAUCUGGUACUGUAUUCAUCUAAGCACGGUUUAAUGUCGAUGAAAGGGUUUAGUCCCUCUAAUUCUGCAUCUUUCCCUUUUCAACCUCUCUUUGGGGCGCAGAGCAUUAUCUCUUCCUGGGAUCAGUCUUCUGUGCUUAAUUUCAACACAGCCUGGGAAAAGGCAGCACAUUGAGAUGUUGACGUUCCCAACAUCAGGCAGAAGCUGGAUGAUAAUGACGGCGAACGCUUUCCCACGUUCCCUGCCCAGCGCCGCGAUGCCAAACCCUAUUGUGUCCCGCACUCCCAGCCCACCUGCUCCUUUGGGAGCGGGGUAUUAUCCCCAGGCAAUUCACAGUCAAUUUGCCAUGCUGUAAUGGAUGCUCUCCCUUUGUCCCGGGCACGCAUGGAUUGGCUGGAGACUGUGGGAAACUCCGAGUCGCUCCGGACCCAGACUUUGGUAAUGCGGCCCCUGCGUAUAAAUAGGGCAGAUCCUGGCUCCCUUCUCCACUCGGAGCUGAAAGCAGCCCUUGGGAUAACGGUGCUCUCUCUCUCUCUGGACAUCCCAUCGCCCGGAGGGAAGGAAGCACAGGCUCCGGGAAGCCCGGCUCGGAUUUACAGCAGCUGGAAUUGCUCCUGGAGAAGGGAUUUCGGAGGCACCAGCCCAACUCCGAGCUGGGGGAAGGCGAAAUCCUGGGGGGAUGGCUGUGAGCGAGCCGGGAUACGGGCGAGCUCUAGCAGCCCGUGCCAAGAGCCCGCGGCAGGAUGAUCCUGGGCGGCAGUGCCCCAGAGCCGCUCUGCAGUUCCCGUCCCUCCGUUCCACGG